CCGAACCCACACACCAUGGGCACACCCCUCCUCCCAGCGGCAGCUCUGGACCUGCCUGUGCCCACCCCCGCCGUCGUUCCCCGUAAAUGUGCAGCCAUCCCGCGUCCCCGCGCUGCCGCAGCCCCUCACUCGGGGCCCUCAAAGAGCACGCUUAUAAAAACAUUCUUCCCGUGAUGGAGUGCUUCCUUUGGGCUUCUUCGGCUUGUAACAGAUUAAAGGCGAACAGGCAUUUGUCAUGGGGAAGUGUACCCAGUUGUGCUGGAAAAUGGACUUUUCGAUGAGCGUGAGAGCUUGAACCUGUCACAGAGGGGAGAGCCUGUGUUAUUGCAGCCUGCCGGGCCGCGGUGGCCGCUGCGGCUUAUCGGCUGUGGCAGGCAUCACCUACGACUGCAAGGAUCCCAUUACGGGAAGGGAGCCACCACCCCAGGCUGGGCUAACUCGCAUGAGGACACCACUAACAUUGUCUGCGUUCCAUUUACGUUAGACAGGCAGGUCUACAAUGUUUGAAGUUUACAGAUUUCUUGGAUAUAGCAGUGAAAGGUCCAUUCUGAAGUUGGCUCCAUCCAUCGCCCCUGAUUUGAGAGGCUCAUAACAGAUGAAGAAACUGAGGCUCACAGAAGAAAUGCCUUCCCCAAGCUCCCACAGUUAAGAAGAGAUGGAGCCUGUGUGUGUAACAACUCCACUCACCAUCAUUUUGGGGUUGGGAAGAGAAAUGAAGUCUUCUACAAAUCUCUGAAAAGGCCCUUCUCAGCCACAAAUGGAGGAAACAGCACAAAAAUACAGACAAACAACACAAAAAGGCUGAACAAUAAGCACCAUCUCCAAGAAGCAGAGCAAUUAGGGGAGAAAAUAAAAUAGCUUUUCUCUCUCUGAAAUAAU
rnacentral:lncRNA from 1 species